CUCCAGGCAGACACAGAAAUGCGGAAGGUGGGAAGGCAUAGCAGCCCAGUAGACUUGUAGCUUAUAGACUGAAUCCCUUGCAGUUGUUACCAAAAUGUUUCAGAGUCUAAAUGGAGCUGGCAGAAGCAGCUUAAGUGGUCAGCCUGGACAUACCCAAAAAGAUUAGAGAGUUUGGAGACAGCGACGGAAAUAAUGAGAAAAUGGGACCUCCAAAUGAAGUAGGAAUUUGUCCCAAGGAGGAGAGAGGCAGAAAGCAAAAGGCCAGAGGUGGGAAAGCAUUGAAAUGAGAUUUGGAGCCACAUUUGAAAGCAAUGUGGAGGACAGGAAGGGAAAGGAAUGAGGUGGACUAAGCUGAUAUCAUCUGGCUAGGAGAGGGGUAGGCAACCUUAGUUCCUUUAUGACUGUAGACUUCACUUCCCAGAAUUCCUGAGCCAGGCAGCCUAAGGAGAUAAGGGGAAUUAAAGAAUAUGCAGGUUGGCCUGUUCUCCAACCAAAGAGAAACUGCUUCUGAGCAAGAGGGGGAGAGAGAGAGAGAAAGCAUAAGGAUUUUCUUUCUCCGCAUCACAUCGUCCAGCCAAGAGUCCCCUCCCUGCUGCCAUAGAGAGGCAGCUGGGGAUGCAAGGGAAUCAGGAGAUCAAUUGGCUGUGCUCUGCCAAUGGAGGAAAAGAGACUAUAAAUCACCAGGGAAUCAAGUGGGAAAGAGCCGGAUCAAGAAGUAGGUGGGAUCAGAGGGGUCAGGAUGAGGGAGAUCCAACCCAGAAGGAAAGAUUAAGCAGCCAAGAAAGACAGAGGGCUUGGACCCUCCUGGCCAGAUAAUCACAAGGACUGGGUAUGGAUACAAGUUCAAGAGUGGAGCUACCAUUAGUCACCCCUUCUACUUGGAUGACAUCAAUCUGUAUGCUAAGAGUUAACAAAGACAUCGACUUGCUGAUCCACCUGACACAGAUUACAGUGAGGACCUUGGAAUUAUCAUUCAUACUGGAGAAGGGAAGAAAAAGAAAUCAGAGUGGUAAAGAAAAGGGGAAAAAAACAGCAGGGGCAUGGCCUUAUUGAAACAUCCUAAAAAAAUGACAUCCCAGCUGUUUUGGGGAAAGUUCAGUUAUAUUUUGGAAAGAAAAUAUGAUUCCCCUGCAAAUGACUUCUGCAAUAGAUGUUAAAGAACAUGAAAAGUUCAGAUGAGAUCAUAUCAUUUCAUUAGCAAGAAUUUAAACGGCAAGCAUAGCCUCAUGCCUUCGUGUUAAUUGACCUUCACGAUCCAGGAAGAAACAAGACACGGCCUCUUUAACCACAACAUUCUCUUUUCUAAUGUAUGCAUUUUAUAGCCUCUGAUGUAUAUGGCUCUAUUAGUGUCUAUGAACAUAGAACAAUGAAGCUAGUUAAUGUAUUAUUUAUUUUAUUACCCCUUUGUAUCAACUGCCUUUUUCUAAUUUGGAAUGUUAUAUGCUUUGGUUCUGUAAUGGUUUUAUAAUGUGCACAUAGUCCAGUAAUUAAAAAUAUAUAUCUUGAUCCUUCACCUCGAAAGCCAAGUUUAUUUACCCUGGCUGAAUGCAGUCAGUCUUGGAUCUGGUAAAGGUCCAUGGGCUUCUUAGCCCUUUUUUAAGACUUCAUUCUUGAGGUCCAGACUGGGCUGGGCUAGACCAUUCCAUCAAUCAAAGACUAGCUUAGCAUUGCAGUUUAGACUCAUCAGCCACUUGAGAUAAAAGGAUUUCACCCAUUCUGAAUUGUUUCAACCAGAGGUUAUCAAAAACAAAUACAACCAAAUCAUGACUGCUUUUUAAAUAUAGUGACAAAUGUAAUUGACCAUCAGAAAGUGAUAUACCUAAAUUCGCAGUCCCUCUUCAGCACAACUCCAGUUUUCUGAGAUCCCCACACAAAGGCAUACAUCAUGAAAUUAAAAAAUGUAAAGAGGAGCCCAGGGCACUGGUUGGAUUCCAGUCUUUGAUUGGUCACUUGGAGAGGACAUUGGUUGGCUUAUGAUAUUCUCAGUAUUAAAAGGUCAAAGUCAAUGAAGAUGAUUACCAAGUGGGUUCAGACUGUUUUUGGGGAAUGAAAUGUGUUGAGUCCUUGGCGAAAAGCAGACACGAGAAGCAGUUGUAGUUCUCAGUUUUUUUUAUUCUGUG